GCAAACUUGGUCAUUUAGAGGAAGUAAAAGUCGUAACAAGGUUUCCGUAGGUGAACCUGCGGAAGGAUCAUUAUCGAGAGAGGGGCUUCGCGCUCCCGGGGGUUUCGGCCCCCAACUCUUCACCCAUUGUCAAUUUACCCUUGUUGCUUUGGCGGAUUCCGGGGUAUGUCUUGCGUAGGUUUGUCAUAAACCCGUGCGAGAUGUGCCCCGGCGCCCGCCGGAGGCCCAUUAAAAUCUGUUUAUCAGUGAUGUCCGAGUAAAAAACCAAUAAUAAAAACUUUCAACAACGGAUCUCUUGGUUCCAGCAUCGAUGAAGAACGCAGC
rnacentral:misc_RNA from 1 species